rnacentral:rRNA from 1 species
CAGUCGCCGCGGGAAUACGUAGGGUGCAAGCGUUAAUCGGAAUUACUGGGCGUAAAGCGUGCGCAGGCGGCUAUGCAAGACAGAUGUGAAAUCCCCGGGCUCAACCUGGGAACUGCAUUUGUGACUGCAUGGCUAGAGUACGGUAGAGGGGGAUGGAAUUCCGCGUGUAGCAGUGAAAUGCGUAGAUAUGCGGAGGAACACCGAUGGCGAAGGCAAUCCCCUGGACCCGUACUGACGCUCAUGCACGAAAGCGUGGGGAGCAAACAGGAUUAGAUACCCCAGUAGUCCCUGUCUCUUAUAC